AGAAGACCUGGAAAAGACCCAACAGCAGACAGUAGAAGGAUAGUAAUUUACUAGAUCAUUCGUGCAUCAGUCCGACGUCACAUUCACAAACAGAACUCCAUAAGAAGCUUUCAUUCAAACCGACAGAAGAGUAGUACCUAAAUAGAAAUUACAGGUAAGCUAUUCCUUCAGCUUAAUCUGGCGACAUACGCGUCAGCGCGUCAAAGGACACUCCCUAGGCGGUUUGCUUACAGAGACAAGCCGAACUGUGUUUAUAUGCUACACAUACAACCAGGGCGAAGGUUAUAUCUGGAUACUCGACGGGGGUCCGUUAACGGCAAGCCAAAUCCGUCAUGAUCAUUCAAUGGCCCGCGGAGUCAUUAAAAACGAACGCUCGGUUCCGAUAUAAUGGCCUCAAAGGCUAGUCGCUUGUCGUAUUCGACGAACAUCACAGUUACUAGUUACCUUCAGCGAUCAAAACAGAUCUUCGGUCUUCUCAAAUGUCCCCCGUGGCUUCCAUCGUCGUUUCACCGAUUUAUGUUGUCGUGCUAUACAAUAUUUGCACAGCGUCGCGAUGGCCGUUAACAGCCGCCACUGCAGAUCAACGAUUAGCUUUCUGACGAGGGCUAAACAUAAUCAUCAUCACCAUUGCUGUGGCCGCCGACCGCUGCUUCUGCUUGUGAGCGGACAGACUGAGGUGCCACGUAUUAGAAAAUCUUUUUUACAGCUGGGAAGCUAACGAGACGACGAGCAUGCCCCCCAGUUCUAGCGGUUGCGGGUCUGCGGACGUUGGACCAAUCAAAUGAAGCGACGGCGGAGUCAUGCAGGGAUCCAAAUUAAUGGUCGACCAAACGAGAAAUCAAGAAAUAAGAACUGACAACAAGUAACAAAACAUCACGGAAGAAAAAUAGUCUCUUGAAAAGAUCCAUAUGCGGACGUCGUAUCGUUCUGUCAUGAUUCGCCGAGUACAUACACGAACCUGACACGGAUACCAAAUGUAGAAGAAAAAAAUACCGCAAAAGAAACCGAAGACGGCGUAGUACUCUUGAAAAUUAUCCCUGUCAAUUUAUACGUGCGCGCAGCCGCCAUCGGCAAA